rnacentral:rRNA from 1 species
CUACGGGAGGCUGCAGUGAGGAAUAUUGCACAAUGGGGGGAACCCUGAUGCAGCAACGCCGCGUGGAGGAUGACGCAUUUCGGUGUGUAAACUCCUUUUAUAUGUCAAGAAAAUGACGGUAGCAUAUGAAUAAGCACCGGCUAACUCCGUGCCAGCAGCCGCGGUAAUACGGAGGGUGCAAGCGUUACUCGGAAUCACUGGGCGUAAAGGACGCGUAGGCGGGUUGGAAAGUCAGGUGUGAAAUCCUACAGCUUAACUGUAGAACUGCACUUGAAACUUCUAAUCUAGAGUAUGGGAGGGGGAGAUGGAAUUAGUGGUGUAGGGGUAAAAUCCGUAGAUAUCACUAGGAAUACCUAAAGCGAAGGCGAUCUCCUGGAACAUUACUGACGCUAAGGCGUGAAAGCGUGGGGAGCAAACAGGAUUAGAUACCCCAGUAGUC